rnacentral:miRNA from 12 species
UGCUACAUAUAUAGAUAUAUAUAUAUGUGUGUGUGUGUGUGUGUUUCUGUGUGUGUAAAUAUAUAUAUAUAAUAUAUUAUGCUAUUUUUA